GACGAACGCUGGCGGCGUGCUUAACACAUGCAAGUCGAACGGAAAGGCCCUGCUUUUGUGGGGUGCUCGAGUGGCGAACGGGUGAGUAACACGUGAGUAACCAGCCCUUGACUUUGGGAUAACUUCAGGAAACUGGGGCUAAUACCGGAUAGGAGCUCCUGCUGCAUGGUGGGGGUUGGAAAGUUUCGGCGGUUGGGGAUGGACUCGCGGCUUAUCAGCUUGUUGGUGGGGUAGUGGCUUACCAAGGCUUUGACGGGUAGCCGGCCUGAGAGGGCGACCGGCCACAUUGGGACUGAGAUACGGCCCAGACUCCUACGGGAGGCAGCAGUGGGGAAUAUUGCACAAUGGGCGGAAGCCUGAUGCAGCAACGCCGCGUGCGGGAUGACGGCCUUCGGGUUGUAAACCGCUUUCGCCUGUGACGAAGCGUGAGUGACGGUAAUGGGUAAAGAAGCACCGGCUAACUACGUG
rnacentral:rRNA from 1 species